UUAGCCGCACCACUCCGUUGGAUGUGGCCACGAACGACCGCAACCAUAGUCCCCACCCCUCCUCCCUAAACCUAGCCGCCAUCCUUCUCUUCCCAUGGCACAACUCAGUCGUUCCCUCGCCGGUGAUGCGGGUGGUGCUAACACGCCCAAUUCUUCGCCUUCUAAUGUCAGGAUGACGAUAGAGGACGUCUCGAAGGACUGAUUCGACCAUGGUUUUGCAUUCGCUUACCCUGAGAUCCAUGUCAGAUUCGCUCUCCGAGAUGGAUUCAGGCUACUCGGAGAUCCCUCGCAAAGCCGCUGCGGCGAGAUGGAGCAGGACGCGCGGUGGAGUGAGGGAACGACAGGGGUUCAGGUUCCAGGCUUAUUCCUCGAUCAGGUUGCUCUCUCCUUAUCCAUUGACUUGACCCGUUUUAACCAUCUUUUUUCGAUUGUUGUGCCUCCGCGCAUUCCUGCCAUCGGCAACUCAUCAUCUGUAGUUAUUGUUUUCUUAUUCAGAAGGACAUCUUCCCUUUCUACUAUAUAACCCGUGCUCUAUCUUCUAUAUUUCAAUGGAUGCUUUUCUUUUGCCUGAAUUAUGCACAAGAUGGCGGCUGGAUGAUUCGUCAAAGACGACUCGUCUCUUAUGUCCGACCACGCAUUUGUACGGAAGGGAAGUGGAGACAAGGGAAACGAUGAAAUUGAAGGUACACGCAUACUCAAGACACCACUUCAGGGAAACAAUUCGUUGCAAUAUGCCAAUGUGACUUGUUCUAAGCAUUCUACCAGCAAGAAGCAUUACGUGUUGGUAUCGCUAUUUUCUAAUAUAGAUGAGAUGCACAAAGGUGCCAAUAAAUGGAUUUCACACUGACGUAUUGGAGUUUGUAGCAGAAGAAGGCACCAUCAUCAUGCUCUACUAGGUAAUGAAAUAUUGUGAGUUGAUCAUCUGGAGCACUGGAGAUGUUUCACAGCGCACAAGAGUUAAAUAUAAUGAAGGGAUAUUAUGCUAGCAACAUGUAGACCAAGGGGCAGAAGGCUCAAUAGAGGAAUUUAUUUUAUUUCUUACUAUAUUAGAUUAAGGCGUGCACAAAUAUGUGCCAGGAAGCCUAUGGCUAACUAGUUGAUUUUAUGUUCUUUUUGUAUCAAGCUGAUGUAUGUAACUCAGAUUGUAUUUCUACAUUUUAAUUAAUA